AACCACUGUCUGGCAGUGGGGUUAAUGUUGCUGCACCAGUUGAGAAGAAGAGCAGAGUUGGAGCAACCUCAGUAACAACAGUUCAAGAGGCUCAAACUAUAAGUUCUGGAGUCAAUUUGAGGGUUCAACAGGCGAAAAAUGCUGCAGUGGCACAAGCACAACAAGAUGGUGCCACUGGAAACUUUAGGAUCUUUGAUUCACCCUUUGGGAAUUAUCUUGUUCCAGUUGUUCCAACUUCCAAGGAACUGUCUGAUUAGUUUCAUAUCAAAUCAUAUGUCUUGAGUUCUAACUCAUUAUGUAUACAACAUGUGAUUGCUGCACAUGCAGAAGUUUUGUUUGGAGAUGUACGAAACAUGCUUUUGCAAGUAUUCAUUACCAAUUUUGCUUCUUCUGCUGCUGUCUCUGUGUGCUGCCUCUGCUCCUUCUGUUGUGCAUUGUUUUGUUGUUGUUGUUGUUCCCGUGGAUAAGGGCGGUGGCGUCUGGCUUUUUCUACUGUUGCUUGUUUCAGUCAACAAUGUACUUCAGACUUG